GGCCCAGGCGCUUGUUGACCAGGGUCAGCACCUGCUCGGUGAUGGACGCCACCUUCAUGCGCACCUCGGCCGCAGGGUCCUGAAGGAGGAACACGGGAAGCAUACGAUUUGUACUCAUCAAAAGCGAUAAAGGUGAAACCUGCUCAACAAACAAGAGUUGCCUCGAGUCAACCUUCAGUCAAUCACCAUGACUCGGAUGAAUGAGAAUCUAAAGGAUCCUUACCACAACAUCUUGAAUGUGCUGCUCCACCAGGUUGUUCUUGGUGGCGACCAGCACGGGGCGGCCGAAGGUAUCAAGGUACGUGUAGUGCAGUUCGUUUGGCAU